rnacentral:rRNA from 1 species
UGACGGUACUUGACUAAGAAGCCCCGGCUAACUACGUGCCAGCAGCCGCGGUAAUACGUAGGGGGCAAGCGUUAUCCGGAUUUACUGGGUGUAAAGGGAGCGUAGACGGAAUUGCAAGUCUGAUGUGAAAGGCUGGGGCUCAACCCCGGGACUGCAUUGGAAACUGUGAUUCUUGAGUGCCGGAGGGGUAAGCGGAAUUCCUGGUGUAGCGGUGAAAUGCGUAGAUAUCAGGAGGAACACCGGUGGCGAAGGCGGCUUACUGGACGGCAACUGACGUUGAGGCUCGAAGGCGUGGGGAGCAAACAGGAUUAGAUACCCUG